UAUAUAUAUAUAUCAUCAUGCACAAUGAAAAAUUUCACAUAGCCAAGGGAAAAAAUAAUAGGCGAGGGGAUAUGGAAUUACCGCACAGGAAACCCGGAAGCGGGUGGCCCUUAAAGAAGGGAAUCCACUCCUUGCCCAACUCACUGAAACCAACUUUAAACUAGUCCUCUGCGCUGCCUGCAAAACGCAAUUGCUUAUAUUCAAAUGCCAUAUCUGUAGUUUCCUCAAUGUAUUCGGUUCUACACUUUCAUCCUUGGAUUUAUAGGAAAUCUAGUCACCAACUUCACAAAUGGACUUAAUUUUUCGGUUUUUGGAGAUCAAGUUAAAAGCAAAUUAAUAAAUGUAAUUUAAAGAAACAAGGAGUAAUGAAGAUUCACCUGGCAGGUGUUAUUGGACUGCCAAAGUAAAGGUUGGAACCUGAGACAAGAAGUUGAUACUGAAGCCAUUGAAGCACACAAUCGAUUGGAUGGAGGGCCAAGUAACUACACGCAAGGAGAUGCUGAUAAAUAGAAAGAUGCAGAGGAAGGUGCCAUAAUGGGAUUACCCAAAAAAAAAUAAAGGAUUAAUUUUGGAUAGAAAAGCUGAAAAAGGGGAGUUUGGACAUGCAAGGGAGAAGAUGCGAGUGGAGAAUAUUCA
rnacentral:misc_RNA from 1 species